UCUCAUUUAGAUGCAUCUGGUUAAGGGAUUAUUCAGCUCUGGUGCUUCCCUCCUGUACUGUUCAUCUGUUGAGCUUUUUGUAGCCAAAGACUUUUACCCAAAAAUGAGCCCGAGGAGGGAGGAAGACUGUUCACCGA
rnacentral:lncRNA from 1 species